CAAGUCGAACGCGAAAGUUCCCUUCGGGGAGCGAGUAGAGUGGCGCACGGGUGAGUAACACGUAGGUAAUCUACCUUUGGAUUGGGAAUAACCACCGGAAACGGUGGCUAAUACCGAAUAAUGCAGCGGCACCUAAUGGUGACAGUUGUUAAAGCGGGGGAUCGCAAGACCUCGCGUCUGAAGAGGAGCCUGCGGCAGAUUAGCUAGUUGGUAAGGUAACGGCUUACCAAGGCGAUGAUCUGUAGCCGGCCUGAGAGGGCGGUCGGCCACACUGACACUGACAUACGGGUCAGACUCCUACGGGAGGCAGCAGUCGGGAAUUUUGGGCAAUGGGCGAAAGCCUGACCCAGCAACGCCGCGUGAAGGAUGAAAUCCUUCGGGAUGUAAACUUCGCAAGAACGGGAAGAAUAAGUAAGAGUUAAUAUCUCUUAUGAUGACGGUACUGUUUGUAAGCUCCGGCUAACUCCGUGCCAGCAGCCGCGGUAAUACGGGGGGAGCAAGCGUUGUUCGGAUUUACUGGGCGUAAAGGGCGCGUAGGCGGCCACCGCAAGUCGACUGUGAAAUCUCCGGGCUUAACCCGGAAAGGUCAGCCGAUACUGCGGGGCUAGAGUGCAGAAGGGGCAACUGGAAUUCUCGGUGUAGCGGUGAAAUGCGUAGAUAUCGAGAGGAACACCUGCGGCGAAGGCGGGUUGCUGGGCUGACACUGACGCUGAUGCGCGAAAGCUAGGGGAGCGAACGGGAUUAGAUACCCCGGUAGUCCUAGCCUUAAACGAUGAAUGCUUGGUGUCUGGGGUUUUAUAGUCCCCGGGUGCCGUCGCUAACGCUUUAAGCAUUCCGCCUGGGGAGUACGGUC
rnacentral:rRNA from 1 species